CUUAAUAAAUAAAAUUUUAAAAUGAAAAACUCUGGAGACCAGGCAGUAGCGCAGCGGGUUAAGCAUACAUGAAGUGAAGCACAAGGACCGUCAUAAAGAUCCUUGUUCGAGUCCCUGGCUCCCCUCCUGCAGGGGAGGUCGCUUCACAAGCAGUGAAUCAGGUCAGCAGGUGUCUUUCUUUGUCCUCAUCCCACCCCCAUCUUCCCCUCCUCUCUUGAUUUCUCUCUGUCCUAUCCAAUGGCAACAGAAGCAAAAACAUCAAUAAUAAUAACAAGGGCAGCAAAACUGGGAAAAAUGGCCUCCAGGAGCAGUGGAUUUGUAGUGCAGGCACUGAGCCCCUAACUGUGUAAACAAAAAAAAAAAAAAAUAGAGAGAAUGAAAGAGAGAAAGAAAGAAGUAAGAAAGGAAGGAAGGAAGGAAGGAAGGAAGAAAGAAAGAAAGAAAGAAAGAAAGCUGAGUAGUAGUGGUUGGGUGGGUUAAGAGCACACUGCGCAAGUGCAAGGACUGGUGUAAGAAUCCCGGUUCGAGGAGCCCCUGGCACGAGCGCCGGGCUCCCCACCUGCAGGGGAGUCGCUUCACAGGCGGUGAAGCAAGUCUGCAUGUGUCUUUCUCUCCCCCUUUCUGUCUUCCCCUCCUCUAUCCAUUUCUCUCUGUCCUAUCUAAUAAUGACAACAUCAAUUACAACAAUAAUAAUAACUACAACAAUAAUAAAAAAACAAGGGCAACAAAAGGGAAAAAUAAAUAUUUAAUAAAUUAAAUAAAUUUUUUAAAAAAGAAAGACUCUGUAAACUGUAAAGUACUACCAAGAGUUGAGAGGGUUUGGAAAGGCUUGGAAGACUGACUUGGAACUGCCUGGGUUCUCUGGGAUGGAGCUAGAGUCCCCAUCCUACUCCCCACACCCAUUGCAGAAACCAGCCCUGGCAUGGGUUUUGCAGAAAGGGGAAUAAACUACAUCUACAGGUUCCAAAAAGCAGGGUGGUUAUAAGCUUCAACCUGGGAAUUGGCUUGUGACUUUGGACCUUUCUGUGCCCCAAGGCUCUCUCAAUAUCUAGAAUGGAGAUCAUUCACAGAUGCAGCACUUCCUCCUCUGUCUGGCUUUAUCAGUGCCAUCAUGAUCCUGGUUAAUCCACACAAGCUUCCUACCAUACAGUUGAGGAAAUGGAGACCAUGAAGAUCUGAAAACAUCUCUAGUGAUAGCAGUAUAAACAUGUUCUUUAGAGCUUUGAGAACAAUGCCAGAGAAACUCUGAGAAGAAGUUGGCUCCAGAAAGAGGACAAGAGAAAUCGAGAGAAGAUGGAAAGACAAAGAUGGGGAGAGAAAGAUAGACACCUACAGACCUGCUUCACCACUUGUGAAGCAACCCCCUGUAAGUGGGGAGCCGGGGACUCAAACCCAAAUCCUUACACUGUUCUUUGCACUUUGUGCCAUGUGAGCUUAACUGGUUGUACUACCUUCUGUCCCCCCCCCCACUUUUAAAUCAUAACAGCAAAGCUUUAAAUCAAGUGUGGGGUUUGCAUGUUGCCACUACAGAUUCUACCCUGGUGUCAAGAGUAGUGCUUAAACUCAGUACUCACAGUAUGGUCAAAUUGUCCAGUCCUGGGGACCAGAGAGCAGUGCACUUGGUUGAGCACACACAUCACCAUGUGCAAGAACCCAGGUCUGAGAUCCCACUCUUUAACUGCAGGGUGGAAGCUUCAAGACUGAUGAAGAAGCAGGCCUAUAGGUCUUUAUCUUUCUUUAUUCCUCUCUAUCUUCUCCCUCCUCAAUUUCUCUUUCUAUCAAAUAAAAUAGAAAUAAAAGAAAGAACGAGAUAAAAAUGGCCCCCAAGAGUGGUAGAUUCAUAGUGCCAGCACCGAACCUAAGCAGUAACCCUGGUGGCAAUAAAUAAAUAAAUUAAAUAAACUGAACACAGAUGAAAAAUCCUUUUGAAUAUCCAAAUCCAAAUUUUAAAACUUUGGUGGGCUAGGGAAGUGGGAGGAGGUUCUGCAUCAGAGCACACUUCUUGCAUGUGUGAAACUCUGGCUUUGAUCCCCAGCACCAUAGAUGAGCAACAAAGACAAAAAGACACACAUUCUCUCUCUCUCUCUCUCUCUCUCUCUCUCUCACACACACACACACACACACACACACACACACUCACAAAAGUUAAUAAUUAAAAUAAAAAAAACUUAAGUGGAACUCCAUGGAUGGUGGAGCAGUACUCUGGUCUUUCUUUCACUCAUUAAAAAAUCAUUAAAAAAUAUAUCAUAAUCCUUUGGGUUUGUUUCUUCUUAUUCUGUAUUCAUCAUUUAUGGGGAACAGCUGGUUCUUCUAAGCAAGUAAUUCUUGUAGACUUGGACAUUGUCUGCAAUUCUUUCUCCCUUUCUUCAUAGGACAGUUUCCCAUGCUCUC